GACGAACGCUGGCGGCGUGCCUAAUACAUGCAAGUAGAACGCUGAAGCGAGGAGCUUGCUCUUCUUGGAUGAGUUGCGAACGGGUGAGUAACGCGUAGGUAACCUGCCUUGUAGCGGGGGAUAACUAUUGGAAACGAUAGCUAAUACCGCAUAACAAUGGAUGACACAUGUCAUUUAUUUGAAAGGGGCAAUUGCUCCACUACAAGAUGGACCUGCGUUGGAUUGGCUAGUAGGUGAGGUAAGGGCUCACCUAGGCGACGAUACAUAGCCGACCUGAGAGGGUGGUCGGCCACCCUGGGAAUGGGACACGGCCCAGACUCCUGCGGGAGGCAGCAGUAGGGAAUCUUCGGCAAUGGGGGCAACCCUGACCGAGCAACGCCGCGUGAGUGAAGGAGGUUUUCGGAUCGUAAAGCUCUGUUGUAAGUCAAGAACGGGUGUGAGAGUGGAAAGUUCACACUGUGACGGUAGCUGACCAGAAAGGGACGGCUAACUACGUG
rnacentral:rRNA from 1 species